rnacentral:rRNA from 1 species
CCUACGGGAUGCAGCAGUGGGGAAUAUUGGACAAUGGGCGAAAGCCUGAUCCAGCCAUGCCGCGUGUGUGAAGAAGGCCUUCGGGUUGUAAAGCACUUUCAGUGGGGAAGAAAGCCUUGGGGCUAAUACCCUCGAGGAAGGACAUCACCCACAGAAGAAGCACCGGCUAACUCCGUGCCAGCAGCCGCGGUAAUACGGAGGGUGCGAGCGUUAAUCGGAAUUACUGGGCGUAAAGCGCGCGUAGGCGGUCUGAUAAGCCGGUUGUGAAAGCCCCGGGCUCAACCUGGGAACGGCAUCCGGAACUGUCAGGCUAGAGUGCAGGAGAGGAAGGUAGAAUUCCCGGUGUAGCGGUGAAAUGCGUAGAGAUCGGGAGGAAUACCAGUGGCGAAGGUGGCCUUCUGGACUGACACUGACGCUGAGGUGCGAAAGCGUGGGUAGCAAACAGGAUUAGAUACCCCUGUAGUC